GUGUGGACUGCUACACAAAGAAUUGGAAACAAAAAUAUCUAUAGCUGCUCUUUUUGUGGUGGCAAAGAAUUGGAAACAUCCCCCCGAUUGAGAUGGAGAGAUCAAGACACAGAGAAGGUCCCUGUUCAAAGUCGAAUAGGUGAACUGCAGAAUCCAAACUUGCACUUUGGAAUCUAUUCUCCCAGAGAAUUCCGACCGCCUGCUUGCUUGAAGAUCUGCUUUGUCAGUUAUGUAGUAAUAGAUAAAAGAACCAUCUGUGGAGCAUUUUGCUCUUUGGUGGGGGAAAAUGAGGAAAUUCCACAGUCAAGCUUGAUUCCUAUUUGCCCCACCAUCCACUCCUCUGGUUUGUUUGGUUCACUGGAAGGAACUUUGCCAUUUCCCAUCUGAUUCUCU
rnacentral:lncRNA from 1 species